rnacentral:rRNA from 1 species
GAUGAACGCUGGCGGCGUGCCUAAUACAUGCAAGUCGAGCGAACAGACGAGGAGCUUGCUUCUCUGAUGUUAGCGGCGGACGGGUGAGUAACACGUGGAUAACCUACCUAUAAGACUGGGAUAACUUCGGGAAACCGGAGCUAAUACCGGAUAAUAUUUUGAACCGCAUGGUUCAAAAGUGAAAGACGGUCUUGCUGUCACUUAUAGAUGGAUCCGCGCUGCAUUAGCUAGUUGGUAAGGUAACGGCUUACCAAGGCAACGAUGCGUAGCCGACCUGAGAGGGUGAUCGGCCACACUGGAACUGAGACACGGUCCAGACUCUUACGGGAGGCAGCAGUAGGGAAUCUUCCGCAAUGGGCGAAAGCCUGACGGAGCAACGCCGCGUGAGUGAUGAAGGUCUUCGGAUCGUAAAACUCUGUUAUUAGGGAAGAACAUAUGUGUAAGUAACUGUGCACAUCUUGACGGUACCUAAUCAGAAAGCCACGGCUAACUACGUG